rnacentral:rRNA from 1 species
CCUACGGGAGGCUGCAGUGAGGAAUAUUGGUCAAUGGACGAGAGUCUGAACCAGCCAAGUAGCGUGAAGGAUGACUGCCCUCUGGGUUGUAAACUUCUUUUAUAUGGGAAUAAAUUGUUCCACGUGUGGGAUUUUGUAUGUACCAUAUGAAUAAGGAUCGGCUAACUCCGUGCCAGCAGCCGCGGUAAUACGGAGGAUCCGAGCGUUAUCCGGCUUUAUUGGGUUGAAAGGGAGCGUAGGUGGGUUGUUAAGUCAGUUGUGAAAGUUUGCGGCUCAACCGUAAAAUUGCAGUUGAAACUGGCAGUCUUGAGUACAGUAGAGGUGAGCGGAAUUCGUGGUGUAGCGGUGAAAUGCUUAGAUAUCACGAAGAACUCCGAUUGCGAAGGCAGUUCACUGGACUGCAACUGACACUGAGGCUCGAAAGUGUGGGUAUCAAACAGGAUUAGAUACCCGUGUAGUC